rfam:Enterocytozoon bieneusi H348 ctg01_365, whole genome shotgun sequence.
AACACGGUGGCGCAACGGUAGCGCGCUCGGCUCAUAACCCAGAGGUUCCUGGUUCGAAUCCAGGCUGUGUUA